AACUGAUACUACCUGCGGGAACCUGCGGAAGGAUCAUUGCUGGAACGCGCCCCAGGCGCACCCAGAAACCCUUUGUGAACUUAUACCUUACUGUUGCCUCGGCGCAUGCCGGCCCCCAGGGGCCCCUCGGAGACGAGGAGCAGGCACGCCGGCGGCCAACCUAACUCUUGUUUUUACACUGAAACUCUGAGAAAAAAAACAAAAUGAAUCAAAACUUUCAACAAUGGAUCUCUAGAUCGG
rnacentral:misc_RNA from 1 species